rnacentral:rRNA from 1 species
GAUGAACGCUGGCGGCGUGCCUAAUACAUGCAAGUCGAGCGAACCACUUCGGUGGUGAGCGGCGAACGGGUGAGUAACACGUAGGUGAUCUGCCCAUCAGACGGGGACAACGAUUGGAAACGAUCGCUAAUACCGGAUAGGACGAAAGUUGAAAGGUGCUUCUGGCACCGCUGAUGGAUGAGCCUGGGGGGCAUUAGCUAGUUGGUAGGGUAAAGGCCUACCAAGGCGACGAUGCGUAGCCGUCCUGAGAGGGUGAACGGCCACACUGGGACUGAGACACGGCCCAGACUCCUACGGGAGGCAGCAGUAGGGAAUCUUCGGCAAUGGGCGAAAGCCUGACCGAGCAACGCCGCGUGAAUGAUGAAGGCCUUCGGGUUGUAAAAUUCUGUUAUAAGGGAAGAACGACUUUAGUAGGAAAUGGCUAGAGUGUGACGGUACCUUAUGAGAAAGCCACGGCUAACUACGUGCCAGCAGCCGCAGUAA